GUCCCCGCCGGGCCGGCGGUGGGGCGGAAGGGGGGAAAGACAGAGUUAGGCGAGGCCGGUGGGGACGUGGGCAGCAGGGGGCUGGGGAGGACAGGGGCGGGGGAUGGCGACGAGGACGGCGGCCUGCAGCCCUCGGGCCAGGCUGUGCCUUCUGCCUGCUGGACCGAGGGCACCUGACCGCCCGGGCGGGGGUGGGGGCCUCACUGGGCCCCGAGUCCUGGCAUUGGGGAUCAGGAGGAAAGCAGACAGGCGGGAAAAACUGGAGGCAGGUGGGGUUGGGCCGUGGAGGCCCUGGAGACGAGCUUGCCCGGCCGUGGGUGCCGCUGGGCACGGAGGGGGCUGACUCUGAACUUGGCAAUGCCAGCAUCCCCUUUUUUUUUCCAGACAAAGGGGAUGAGGCCUGGUCUUGUGGAGACUGGACUUAGCUUCGCCGGGCUGACCGCUCUGGCCCAGGGUGGUGUCAGUUCCCCACCCUGGACUUUGCCUAGAUUUGGUGCUAACCUCUCCUGUGAGCUCACUUUGCCCUCUCUCCUCCCUCUUAACUCUGAGGUUAUCCAUCCCUUAAAACCUUUCUGGUCAUCUGGUAAGCUUGGGGAAGUCAGGAGUCGUUGGAGGCGGUAUUGGUAUUGGUAACGGAGUCGUGAAGGAAACGCCCUGGCUGAGUGGGCUUGGGGGUGGGGUGGGGUUGCUUUGGCUGAGGGUGGAAACUGAACCUUGCCACUCUUGGAUGGGCUUCUACAGCAGUGGUUUCCACCGGAGGUCACCGGCCGUGGUUUGUUACUGUAGUGUUCAUCAUGGCGAACAGAUGGCACCCGGAGAAAUGGAGCCCUCCCCCCCUGCAGGUGUGCGUCGUAGCUGUGCAGGAGGGGAGGCCUGGAGGAUGCAGCCCGCUUAAAUUGACGCCUGCAGAUUGAAUUCCAGAGUCUUAGGAGGAGGAGGUGCUCCAGUGCCAAGUGUGCAGCUAAGCCUGGCUCAGGAAGCCCUGUAUUCAGGCAGCCACCAGCCAUUUUAAGUUCAUGAGCUUUGCGGAGGGGGUGGGGGGGGAUGGUGGUGGAAGGGAGGCAAUCCAAAAAGGCCAAAGCAGAUACAUCCGCUUCUGAGGGGCCAUCAGCUUUGAAUGAAUGUUCUGGGAGCACCAUUCUCCAGGCGCAGGAAUGGCAGCUGGCAUCCCCUUCUUUCCUGGGGAAGAGAGGUUUUCACAUGCUGCAUCUUCUGUAUUGAGCAUCCAGUCAUUCUAGUUUUGUGCUCCAACUUUGCUUCGAGAAGAUUCUUAAGCAGUAGAACAGUGUAAACGUUGAUGCCACAGCGCAGAAAGACACGUCCUGUAGAGACAGUUGCAUAUGGAGCCCAGAGGGACCUCACCACGUGCCUGUGUUUUGGCUGGAGAAAUUCUUAAUGUGCCUAUAGAACUUUUGGGUGGUGGGGAAAGCUGUUCAAUUUUAAAUGCCUCAGGCAGAGGGAACUUUAUUAAACAUUGUCAAAUGGG